rnacentral:rRNA from 1 species
UAGGGAAUCUUCCGCAAUGGACGCAAGUCUGAAGGAGCAACGCCGCGUGAGUGAAGAAGGAUUUCGGUUCGUAAAACUCUGUUGUUAGAGAAGAACAGCGCAUAGAGUAACUGUUAUGCGUGUGACGGUAUCUAACCAGAAAGCCACGGCUAACUACGUGCCAGCAGCCGCGGUAAUACGUAGGGCGCAAGCGUUAUCCGGAAUCAUUGGGCGUAAAGAGCUUGUAGGCGGUUCGUCGCGUCUGGUGUGAAAGCCCGUCGCUUAACGGUGGGUUUGCGCCGGGUACGGGCGGGAUAGAGUGCAGUAAGGGAGACUGGAAUUCCCGGUGUAACGGUGGAAUGUGUGGAUUUCGGGAGGAACACCAAUGGCGAAGGCAGGUCUCUGGGCUGUUACUGACGCUGGGAAGCGAAAGCGUGGGGAGCGAACAGG